AGAGUUUGAUCCUGGCUCAGAGCGAACGCUGGCGGCAGGCUUAACACAUGCAAGUCGAGCGGGCACUUCGGUGUCAGCGGCAGACGGGUGAGUAACGCGUGGGAACAUACCUUUUGGUUCGGAACAACACAGGGAAACUUGUGCUAAUACCGAAUAAGCCCUUACGGGGAAAGAUUUAUCGCCGAAAGAUUGGCCCGCGUCUGAUUAGCUUGUUGGUGAGGUAACGGCUCACCAAGGCGACGAUCAGUAGCUGGUCUGAGAGGAUGAUCAGCCACAUUGGGACUGAGACACGGCCCAAACUCCUACGGGAGGCAGCAGUGGGGAAUAUUGGACAAUGGGCGCAAGCCUGAUCCAGCCAUGCCGCGUGAGUGAUGAAGGCCCUAGGGUUGUAAAGCUCUUUUGUGCGGGAAGAUAAUGACGGUACCGCAAGAAUAAGCCCCGGCUAACUUCGUGCCAGCAGCCGCGGUAAUACGAAGGGGGCUAGCGUUGCUCGGAAUCACUGGGCGUAAAGGGUGCGUAGGCGGGUCUUUAAGUCAGAGGUGAAAUCCUGGAGCUCAACUCCAGAACUGCCUUUGAUACUGAGGGUCUCGAGUUCGGGAGAGGUGAGUGGAACUGCGAGUGUAGAGGUGAAAUUCGUAGAUAUUCGCAAGAACACCAGUGGCGAAGGCGGCUCACUGGCCCGAUACUGACGCUGAGGCACGAAAGCGUGGGGAGCAAACAGGAUUAGAUACCCUGGUAGUCCACGCCGUAAACGAUGAAUGCCAGCCGUUGGGGAGUUUACUCUUCAGUGGCGCAGUUAACGCUUUAAGCAUUCCGCCUGGGGAGUACGGUCGCAAGAUUAAAACUCAAAGGAAUUGACGGGGGCCCGCACAAGCGGUGGAGCAUGUGGUUUAAUUCGACGCAACGCGCAGAACCUUACCAGCCCUUGACAUGUCCAGGACCGGUCGCAGAGAUGUGACCUUCUCUUCGGAGCCUGGAGCACAGGUGCUGCAUGGCUGUCGUCAGCCCGUGUCGUGAGAUGUUGGGUUAAGUCCCGCAACGAGCGCAACCCCCGUCCUUAGUUGCUACCAUUUAGUUGAGCACUCUAAGGAGACUGCCGGUGAUAAGCCGCGAGGAAGGUGGGGAUGACGUCAAGUCCUCAUGGCCCUUACGGGCUGAGCUACACACGUGCUACAAUGGCGGUGACAAUGGGACGCUAAGGGGCAACCCUUCGCAAAUCUCAAAAAGCCGUCUCAGUUCGGAUUGGGCUCUGCAACUCGAGCCCAUGAAGUUGGAAUCGCUAGUAAUCGUGGAUCAGCACGCCACGGUGAAUACGUUCCCGGGCCUUGUACACACCGCCCGUCACACCAUGGGAGUUGGUUUUACCUGAAGACGGUGCGCUAACCCGCAAGGGAGGCAGCCGGCCACGGUAGGGUCAGCGACUGGGGUGAAGUCGUAACAAGGUA
rnacentral:rRNA from 1 species